ACAUACAUCUCAUAAAAAAGCAACAGGCUUUGCUGCUGUUCAUCAGCUAUUUACAGAACAAUGGCCAACAACACCAGUCAACUGAAGUCUUACUGGCACAGCUACUGAGAAAAAUGUUGACUUUGAACUUGAUAUACGGGUUAAAAUUGAUAGUGGAAAAUGUGUACUCCACCCAACCACCCUUUUACAAGAACAUGAUGAUAUAAGUUUGAGAAGGAGUUAUGAUCGAAGUUCCAGGAGCUUAGAUCAAGAUUCUCCUUCAAAAAAGAAGAAAUUCCAAACUAAUUAUGCUUCUACCACCCAUUUAAUGAGUGGCAAGAAAGUGCUGUCAUCUAUACAGACAAAAGCUAGUGACUUAGAAACAACAGUAUUUUAUAUGCCUGGAGUUGAUGUAAAUGUAAAUACCUAAUUGUCUAGGAUAAAAGAUUAGUGUAUCAAUAAUGGUGGUUUUUAUUUCUUAUCAUAUAUGUUCUUCUUUUGCUCCUUAUACUAUGAAACUUUCUAGGUUUUUUUGGUCUAGGUAGCCAUAUUCUGAACAUAAGAAUAUAUAUAGGUUGUCACUUCAUUUAUACAGCUUUUCCCAUGAAAUUUGGCAAAAAGAAGUUAAAUGUUUUAUAUAUGUGUAUAGAUGUGUGUUCAGAGCAUACUUGUUAAAGCUGGCUUAGUGCAACUUCAUUAAACAACCAUUUUUUAAAUUCUAGAAUUAUAAAAUCUUAGGCUAUUAAUAGUUGGAAAGAACUUUAAGGAUUAUCAGGAAUGACCUUUUUAACUUCAAAAAUGAAAAAAAGAAUCUUGUCAGGAUCGCAAACCUAACUUGUAAAAGUUAGAACUGAGUCUUUGGACUCCUGAACCAGUUUUCUUUCUGAUACGUUUUCUGUAUUUCUUGGGUUUUCCUCAUCUGUAUAAUUUUAAUUUUGAAAGUUUUUUUUUAAUACAGUUGCAUUACAAUUCUAAGAUGCUAAAGACUGAAUCACCUAAUGCUUCUAGAGGAUCUUCCUUGCCAAGAACUCUCUCCAAAGAGUCCAAACUGUAUGGUAUGAAAGAUAGUGCAACAUCUCCUCCUUCUCCUUUACCUUGCACUGUCCAGAGCAAGACUAACACCUUACUUCCUCCCCAGCCCCCACCUAUACCCGCAGCCAAAGGAAAAGGAAGUGGAGGAGUAAAAACAGCCAAGUUAUAUGCCUGGGUAGCACUUCAGUCAUUGCCAGAAGAAAUGGUUAUUAGCCCCUGCCUUUUAGACUUUCUGGAAAAGGCUCUAGAAACUAUCCCAGUUACACCAAUUGAAAGGAAUUAUACAGCUGUUAGCUCACAAGAUGAAGAUAUGGGACAUUUUGACAUACCAGAUCCUAUGGAAGAAUCAACAACAUCAUUAGUAUCUUCUUCAACAUCUGCUUACUCUUCCUUCCCUGUAGAUGUUGUGGUUUAUGUACGAGUUCAGCCCUCACAGAUCAAAUUUAGCUGUUUACCAGUGUCAAGAGUAGAAUGUAUGCUAAAGCUUCCAUCCUUGGGCUUGAUGUUUUCUUCAAACCGAGGAGAACUGGAGACUUUAGGGACAACAUAUCCUGCAGAGACUUUAUCUCCUGAAAGUAAUGCAUCUCAGAGUGGAACAAAGACCUCUGGUAGCCAAACUGGAAUACCAGGCUCAUCAGGAUUAGGCAGCCCUCUUGGCAGAAGCCGGCACAGCAGCAGUCAAUCAGAUCUCACCAGCUCCAGCAGCAGUUCAUCUGGCCUGAGCUUCACUGUGUGCAUGUCUGACUUCUCCCUUUAUAUAUUUCAUCCAUAUGGAGCAGGGAAACAAAAAAACUGCUGUUUCUGGCCUCACACCUGGAUUAGGAGAAUUAGGGAAUGUGGAUGAGGAACCCACUUGAAUGACUGGUUGAAAACACUCUCUCAGUAUAAACCUUGAAUUUGUAAAAAGUGAAUUUGUCUCAGAUAAGGCGUUCAGGAGGUGCUUCAUUUUUUGAAAGUCAGUCUGUAAGCAAGUCUGCAAGCAAAAUGCACACUACAUUGUCCCGGCCCGCGGGUAUUCAGUUUUAUAUUUUUUAAAAUUAAAAUUCUGUUUUCUAGAAUUAAAUAAUGGCCUCUGCCUUAACAGUCUUUAAAUAUGAAGUGUGCUUAAUAUUAUUU
rnacentral:lncRNA from 1 species